GGGGUGAUAACUCAGUUGGUAUGAGUGCUAGACUGAAGAUCAAACUUCAUCCUAAGCCUGUUCUAGGUAUCUAGAAGUCCCCGGUUCGAUCCCGGGUCAUCCCA
rfam:TPA: Aspergillus nidulans FGSC A4 chromosome III